UACGAAGGUCCCAAGCGUUGUUCGGAAUCACUGGGCGUAAAGGGAGCGUAGGCGGCGUGGUAAGUCAGAUGUGAAAUCCCGGGGCUCAACCCCGGAACUGCAUCCGAUACUGCCAUGCUUGAGGAUUGGAGAGGUAGCUGGAAUUCUUGGUGUAGCAGUGAAAUGCGUAGAUAUCAAGAGGAACACUCGUGGCGAAAGCGGGCUACUGGACAAUUCCUGACGCUGAGGCUCGAAGGCUAGGGUAGCGAAAGGG
rnacentral:rRNA from 1 species